rnacentral:rRNA from 1 species
CCGCAAUGGGCGAAAGCUGACGGAGCAACGCCGCGUGAGUGAUGACGGCCUUCGGGUGUGUGAAAACUCUGUGAUCCGGGACGAAAAGGCAGAGUGCGAAGAACAAACUGCAUUGACGGUACCGGAAAAGCAAGCCACGGCUAACUACGUGCCAGCAGCCGCGGUAAUACGUAGUGGCAAGCGUUGUCCGGAAUUAUUGGACGUAAAGCGCGCGCAGGCGGCUUCCCAAGUCCCUCUUAAAAGUGCGGGGCUUAACCCCGUGAUGGGAAGGAAACUGGGAAGCUGGAGUAUCGGAGAGGAAAGUGGAAUUUCCUAGUGUAGCGGUGAAAUGCGUAGAGAUUAGGAAGAACACCAGUGGCGAAGGCGACUUUCUGGACGAAAACUGACGCUGAGGCGCGAAAGCGUGGGGAGCAACAGGAUUAGAUACCCUGGUAGUCCACGCCGUAGACGAUGGAUACUAGGUGUAGGAGGUAUCGACCCCUCCUGUGCCGGAGUUAACGCAAUAAGUAUCCCGCCUGGGGAAGUACGAUCGC